UACCAGCACCCCGAGUGGUCGGGACGAUUAUUGGGCCUAAAGCAUCCGUAGCCGGUUCUGCAAGUCCCCCGUUAAAUCCAGCUGCUCAACAGAUGGGCCGCGGAGGAUACUACAGAGCUAGGAGGCAGGAGAGGCAAGCGGUACUCAGUGGGUAGGGGUAAAAUCCGUUGAUCCAUUGAAGACCACCAGUGGCGAAGGCGGCUUGCCAGAAUGCGCUCGACGGUGAGGGAUGAAAGCUGGGGGAGCAACCGG
rnacentral:rRNA from 1 species